ensembl:ncRNA W01H2.6 ncRNA
GUCCCAAUGCUCACAAGAGAAGACGGCCUUCAAUGGCCCAACCACGCAGCCAGAAGGGGUGGAGCAAUAAUAGGCACCCCGA